rnacentral:lncRNA from 1 species
CACCACCCUUAUGCCAUGCCCCCUGUUCUACAGCUGGGACCAGGGAGGAGGCGGGAACUGCUGGAGUGCCCCGGUAGGGUCUGGCUGGCCUGGAAGUUGGAACCCUCAAGAGCAGAGAAGAAACCAGGUCAUUGCGGUGGGGCUGGCAGAACAGACACUUUCGUUAAUCCAUGUAUAAAUAAAUACAGGAGGGGGUGUGUGGCUCAGUGGUAGAGCACUUGCACAGGAAUGAGAAAAGCCCAGGGUUCCAGUCCCAUCACCACUAAAAAACAACACCACACACACACACACACACACACACACAAGAAAAAAGUAGAAAAAACUCCAAGGGACAUGAGAUGAGUGACCCUUAAUGCUGCCUGAGUAGCAGUAUUAAUAGGGGUAUAUAGAUUAAAUGAGCAUAUUAGCCUUGUUCUUUGGAAAGAAAUGGGGGCUCAGAGUGACAAAGUCACUAGCUUAAAUACAUGCAUCAUCAAAACUGCACCCCCUGGGAACACUGCCUUACUUUUUUUUUUUUUUUUAAGAAUUUUUUUUAAUAUUUAUUUUUUAGUUUUCGGCGGACACAACAUCUUUGUUUGUAUGUGGUGCUGAGGAUCGAACCCGGGCCACACGCAUGCCAGGCGAGCACGCUACCGCUUGAGCCACAUCCCCAGCCCACUGCCUUACUUCUAAUUAGUCUGCCUCCUAAAGUAAUGCUCACCCUCCCACAGCAGGGGUAUACCAACAGCCCUUCCUUGGGACUGGGAAUGGAACUCAGGCUCCCACUGCUGGUUCUGCUUUCAGGACUGGGUUCCCACCUUCUUCCCCCAUAAGACUGGAUUUAACAGGGAUCCUUCCAGUUCUAGUAACUGUUAACUGGGCCUUAAGUAGAGCCUGGUGCUUAGAACUUCACAUACUUUUAACUUGCACAGUCAUCUGGGCUGGUAGUCUUCCUUCCCAGGGAAGAGCACAACUGUUAAAUGACAUUGAACCCAGACUGGCCGAUGGUAUGGUAUAGAUGCUGAAAUGCAUGGCCACUUGUCAGGAUGUAGGGUGUUCUGAAACCUAUCCCCGCUCCUAGGGGCACCAAGCAUCCUCCGCUGCCCUUUGGAAACUUCUCAGGCAAGGAGUCAGCAGUGCAUGAAGUAAGGCCGCCACCUUGUGGUGAAAAUUAGUAAACACAGAGCAGAUUAUGCUAAGUGAAGCUAGCCAAUCCCUAAAAAACAAAUGCCAAAUGUCUUCUUUGAUAUAAGGAGAGUAACUAAGAUCAGAGUAGGGACGAAGAGCAGGAGAAGAAGAUUAACAUUUAACAGGGAUGAGAGGUGGGAGGGAAAGGGAGAGAGAAGGGAAAUUGCAUGGUAAUGGAAGGAGACCCUCAGGGUUAUACAGUGGAGGGGGUAGAGAGAGAGG